rnacentral:rRNA from 1 species
AGUUUGAUCCUGGCUCAGAUUGAACGCUGGCGGCAGGCCUAACACAUGCAAGUCGAGCGGAUGAGAAGAGCUUGCUCUUCGAUUCAGCGGCGGACGGGUGAGUAAUGCCUAGGAAUCUGCCUGGUAGUGGGGGACAACGUUUCGAAAGGAACGCUAAUACCGCAUACGUCCUACGGGAGAAAGCGGGGGACCUUCGGGCCUUGCGCUAUCAGAUGAGCCUAGGUCGGAUUAGCUAGUUGGUGAGGUAAUGGCUCACCAAGGCGACGAUCCGUAACUGGUCUGAGAGGAUGAUCAGUCACACUGGAACUGAGACACGGUCCAGACUCCUACGGGAGGCAGCAGUGGGGAAUAUUGGACAAUGGGCGAAAGCCUGAUCCAGCCAUGCCGCGUGUGUUAAGAAGGUCUUCGGAUUGUAAAGCACUUUAAGUUGGGAGGAAGGGCAUUAACCUAAUACGUUAGUGUUUUCACGUUACCGACAGAAUAAGCACCGGCUAACUCUGUGCCAGCAGCCGCGGUAAUACAGAGGGUGCAAGCGUUAAUCGGAAUUACUGGGCGUAAAGCGCGCGUGGGUGGUUUGUUAAGUUGGAUGUGAAAGCCCCGGGCUCAACCUGGGAACUGCAUCCAAAACUGGCAAGCUAGAGUACGGUAGAGGGUGGUGGAAUUUCCUGUGUAGCGGUGAAAUGCGUAGAUAUAGGAAGGA